rnacentral:rRNA from 1 species
AUGAACGCUGGCGGCGUGCCUAAUACAUGCAAGUCGAGCGAACAGAUAAGGAGCUUGCUCCUUUGACGUUAGCGGCGGACGGGUGAGUAACACGUGGAUAACCUACCUAUAAGACUGGGAUAACUUCGGGAAACCGGAGCUAAUACCGGAUAACAUAUUGAACCGCAUGGUUCAAUAGUGAAAGGCGGCUUUGCUGUCACUUAUAGAUGGAUCCGCGCCGUAUUAGCUAGUUGGUAAGGUAACGGCUUACCAAGGCAACGAUACGUAGCCGACCUGAGAGGGUGAUCCGCCACACUGGAACUGAGACACGGUCCAGACUCCUACGGGAGGCAGCAGUAGGGAAUCUUCCGCAAUGGGCGAAAGCCUGACGGAGCAACGCCGCGUGAGUGAUGAAGGUCUUCGGAUCGUAAAACUCUGUUAUCAGGGAAGAACAAAUGUGUAAGUAACUGUGCACAUCUUGACGGUACCUGAUCAGAAAGCCACGGCUAACUACGUG